GACGAACGCUGGCGGCGUGCUUAACACAUGCCAGUCGAACGGAAAGGCCUGCUUUCCCUUGUGGAUUGCGGGUACUCGAGUGGCGAACGGGUGAGUAACACGUGAGUGAUCUGCCCCCAACUUGGGUAUAAGCCUGGGAAACUGGGUCUAAUUCCCGAUAGGACUGCAGGGUGGUGCCUGUGGUGGAAAACGAUUUUCUAGUGGUUGGGGAUGAGCUCGCGGCCUAUCAGCUUGUUGGUGGGGUAAUGGCCUACCAAGGCGGCGACGGGUAGCCGGCCUGAGAGGGUGGACGGCCACAUUGGGACUGAGAUACAGCCCAGACUCCUACGGGAGGCAGCAGUGGGGAAUAUUGCACAAUGGGCGGAAGCCUGAUGCAGCGACGCCGCGUGGGGGAUGACGGCCUUCGGGUUGUAAACUCCUUUCGACCGCGAGGAAGCCACCUGGUUGGAAGGGUGGUGACGGUAGUGGUAGAAGAAGCACCGGCUAACUACGUG
rnacentral:rRNA from 1 species